GUCGUGCAUGCGUGCAUCGGCAUGCCGUGCAUGUGCGUGUGUGUGGAGUCCCUUUCUGGAAUGAUUGCUUGAGUACAGGGUGUGCGGGGUCAGAGGACUCCUCCAGCAUUUGUCCUUUGUGACCUGCUUACUGCGCUCUCAGUACCUCUGUGAGUAUGCUGCCUGGACUCCAAUCCCACCGUUCAGAUUCCGGCCUCUGUCAGAGGAUUUGCUUCUGUGCUGCGGGCGAGCUGGUCCUGUUGGGAGUGAACAGGACGACAUGGCAAACAGACUCUGCAGAACUGUAACUGCCAAAACAAUGUUGAAAAAGAGUAACAUCACAAUUUCAAAACUUAGUACAAAUCUACAGCAAACAAGAUGGUGCAGUACUAUUGUAAAGAUAGACAUCUAUGCAGUGGAACAGAAUUUGAGAGUCCAGAAAGAAGCCUUCACUUUUAUGAUCAAUCGGUUUUCUGCAGUGGUGCCAAGACCAUUCAAUGGGGGAAAAACAGGGUCUUCAACAAAUGGCAUUGGGACAGCAGGAUAUUCACAUGCGAAAGAAUGAAGUUGGACCCCUGCCUCAAUGCCAUAUACAAAAACUAACUCAAAAUGAAUCAACGACCCAAACAUAAGAGUUGAGACUAGAAGACUCUGAGAAGAAAACAACAGGGGAAGUCUUCAUGCCCUUGGAUGAGGUCAUGGGCUAUCUCUCCACUGAUUUAGGUCUUGCUUAAUUUCCUUGGCAGUGCUCUAUAGUUUGCAGUACAGGCCUUCACCUCUUUUGCCAGAUUUGUAUAGCUAUGCAUUUUGUACCUUUUAGGCUGUUAUAAAUGACAGUGUUUUUAAAUUUCAAGUACCAACUUUUUAUUGCUGGUGUAUAGAAAUAAAAUUGAUUUUUGUGUGUUGAUCUGAUAUCUUGCAACCUUGCUGAUCACACUUCUUGGUUCUAGUAGCUUUAGAGAAGAUUCCAUCAGAAUUUCUCUAUAGACAAUCAUGAUGGCAUCUGUGCAUAAAGGCAAUUUUACUUCUUUUCCAAUCUGGGUGCCUUUCAUUUCUUUUUGUAGCUUAAGGAACUAAUGAGAACCUCUGGUACCUCACAGAGGAGCAGUGAGACAUGCUCACUUUGUUCCUGGUCCUUUGAGGAGAGGGACCAGUUUUGACCAUUAAGGAAGAUGUUAGCAGUGGGUUCUGUGGGUGCCCUUUGACAGAUAGAAGAGCCCUCCUUCUAUUCCCCUUCUAUUCUUAAUAUGCUAAGACUUUCAAUGAGGAAUGGUUCUUGGAUGUUGUCGGUAUCUACUGAUACAGAAAAUACAGCGAUCAUGCAUGGGAGAGUCCAAACUCAGCAGUCGCCUCUGCUUUUUCUCAGAAAGAAGGAGAAGAGAAGAAAGAGCCCCGCCCAGUGAAAGAAGGCUGUCUUGGGCAACUGAGCUUGCCCCUUUUCCACUCUGCACCUCACUCCUUGACUGAUAUUCCUAGAUAUCAGUCUGAUAUUCAGACCCUUCCCUGUGGACUCCAAAGCCAACGCUCUUUCCUCUACACCAAACUGUUUAAAGACUUUGAUUUUGGAACUCUGCCUGGCCAAGGCCCUGAAAAUGGAUAAAACCUCAGAUUCCUCAAUAAUAUAACAGUACCAACCAUUUACUGAGCCCUUUUGGAAUAUCAAGAACCAGGGCUGGGACUAGGGUGAAGUGGGUGAAUCCUCCGUGGGUGCAGAAUUUAAAGAGAUACCUACAGGACUACAGAUGCCUCACCUGCCUCACCCUCAUCCAGGCCCUGCAAAGAACAGUGCCAUAUAGUCUGUUUGCAUCUACUCCCUACAUCCUCAAACAACCCUGCAGUGGUAAGUGCUAGUAUUCUUAGUUUACAGACGAGGAAGCAGGAUCAGAGAGGUGAAGUUACUUAACCAAGUAAUAAGCUGGCAUGUGAGACAAAGACUGUUCAUGCUCCGUCUGUGUGCUUAAUCAGUGGUUCCCAACUCUAGUGGGUCAGAACUACCUGGAAGGUUGGUUAAAACACUGAUGGCUGGGCGCCAUCCUACAAUAACUGAUUCAGUAGGUCUGCUGUGUGGGUAGGAGAGUUUGCAUUUCUCACAAGUUCCCAGGUGGCGCUAAUGCUGCUGGUCUAAGGACCACACUUCGAGAACCACUGCACUAUAUGUCAUACUUUUUUUUCUCUGUAACCUUUGUUCAUCAGAUCCCAGGGGCACAAAGAUUCUAAGAGUAAAAAAAGAGAAGUCUGAGAAAACACUGCCAGAUCCUUCUAGUUUGUGAAAGGAAAGAAAGCAUCAACUUCUCAGGACAGGACCAAGAGUUUCUAUGUCAUCCAUGAGUGUGUUGGAGCCCCAACCCCAUUCCAGAAGGCUUCACACAAAAUCAGCGAGCAGUUAUGACUUGAAUUGUGGGGUGAACUGACUGGUCGUGAUGGGGCCUCUGUAGAGACUUAUUCAUCCUGAAAGAAUGCCUGACAUUUAUUCUGAAAGGCGUCUUUCUAUAGACCCUCAAUCCUUGUAGCACAAAAUGGCACUUUUUUCUAAAUAUAUUUCAAAUGUUUUCUAAUUUAUUCUUAGACAUCUAUAUCAAGGGGACAUGGUACAUCACUUUUUCAAGUCUUUGAGUAAGAGCCAUUGCAAAAUAAUAAGGGGAAGGGGGAAUCAACACAGAGCUAUUCACCAUGUUAUUAAAAAAAAAAAAGUAAACUUAAACCAGUUUUGGCAAAAUCUCCAAACUCUGACCAUGUGACAACAUUCCAGAGUUGACCCUCGUGUCUGAGGAGUUAAAUUUUUCUUUAAGCUCCCAAAUCUUUGGACCCUAAAACCCUCUUCCAGCUGCAUUUGGCCCAAAAGUGCAAUAAGGAAAAAGCUGAUUUUAUUCAUUUACUUGAAUUUUAUGGUGAGUAUCACAAGCCCCCAUGGCAGGAAUUCACAGCCUUGGCUGCACACUGGAGUCACUUGGAGAGUUUCUAAGAAUCCCUUCACCUCUGGCCAUGCCUGAGACCAAGCACUUCAGAAUCUCUGGGAGUGGGAUUAGGCAUGAGUGUUUUUGAAACCCUCCAGGUGAGACUAGGGGCAGCCAGGACCAAGAAAGCCCGGCUUCAGGGAGAGCGAAUUCUUAGUGCAUCCCUACAGUCUUCUUCUGAUUUUAUACAUUCUGUACAUAUGGACAAGGUCCCUUCCCAAAGCGUGGUACCAAUUUACACCAUCGUGGUGAAUAUAGGCAUAAACUCCACCUUGGUGCCUUUGCCUGCAUUGCUUGCUUGCUGCAAUCUCCCUCCCGAUUUGAUUCAUGUAGAACGUUGCUGUGAUUGACUAGAGAUGAACACAGAUUCUUUUCUGUCUCUCCCAUUGAGCAACAGAGUCUAAUUCCCUGCCCUUGAACCUGGACUGGACUUAGUGACGUUUUGACCAAUAGUUUGUGAUGGAGGAGAUGUUCUGAAACUUCUGAGCUAAGUUGCUAGAAGUCUUGCAGCUUUUGGCUAGUUAUCUCUGAAGGCUUGCUCUGGGAGAUGCCACCUGCCAACAUGAGUCAGCCAACCACUCCAGGGACACUGCCACACUAGAGAAGCCUAAUGCAGGAGCAGUGGUCAACACAAGCAGCUGAGCCCAUUCUACCAGCCUCCCCAGGCAUCAGACGUAUGAAGGAACCCUUGGAUCCUCUAGACUCAUUUUCCAGCCAAAUACCACUGAGUGCCCUGAGAGGCCAUGAAAAGCAAAAGCAUUUCUCAGCUGAGCCCUGCCAAAAUUCUUGACCCAUAAAAUCGUGAUCGUGAAAUACAAUAAAAUGGUUUUUGUUUGAAGCUGCUAAAUUUUAGGAUAUAUUGUUGCACAACAAUAGAUAACUGGGAUAGGUGCCCUUAUGUUUCCUUUUUAAAAAUUUUUUUAAUGUUUAUUUUUUAUUUUCGAGAGAGAGAGUGUGUGUGCACACACAUGCACGGGAGGAGCAGAGAGAAAGACAGAGAAUCUGAAGCAGGCUCCAGGCUCUAAGCUGUCAGCACAGAACCCAGCGCAGGGCUCAAACCCAUGAGCUGUG